rnacentral:rRNA from 1 species
GAGUUUGAUCCUGGCUCAGGAUGAACGCUGGCGGCGUGCUUAACACAUGCAAGUCGAACGAAGCACCUUGAUUUGAUUCUUCGGAUGAAGAUCUUGGUGACUGAGUGGCGGACGGGUGAGUAACGCGUGGGUAACCUGCCUCAUACAGGGGGAUAACAGUUAGAAAUGACUGCUAAUACCGCAUAAGACCACAGCACCGCAUGGUGCAGGAGUAAAAACUCCGGUGGUACAGGAUGGACCCGCGUCUGAUUAGCUGGUUGGUGAGGUAACGGCUCACCAAGGCGACGAUCAGUAGCCGGCUUGAGAGAGUGAACGGCCACAUUGGGACUGAGACACGGCCCAGACUCCUACGGGAGGCAGCAGUGGGGAAUAUUGCACAAUGGGGGGAACCCUGAUGCAGCGACGCCGCGUGGAGGAAGAAGGUCUUCGGAUUGUAAACUCCUGUUGUUGAGGAAGAUAAUGACGGUACUCAACAAGGAAGUGACGGCUAACUACGUGCCAGCCGCCGCGGUAAUUC